UUGAGGCUAAUGGAUUUCUGUCUGUGUGUUAGCACCUGCUGCGAUCUGAUAAGAAAAUCGUAUAUUCAUUGUUAGUUAUACCUUUCCGUUAUUAUGAAUGUGUCUUAGAGUUGUGAAAGGAAGGAGGCAAGGAUGACUGGUUCCCUUUUAGAAAGCUUCAGUGAAGGCACUGAGGGAGGUGACUCACUGAAGGUGGAGACAGGUGAUGCCAAGGCCUGCUGGCAGUCUAGCAUCCAGAGACCCUGUCUCAACAAACACAAACUUCAGUUAAUAUUUAAUACUUCAUCUCUGUGGUUAAAAAUUCCUAGAAGGGCAUUCUCUUCCCACGGCUGCAGCUCAACAUGGCGCCGCAGAAAGACAAGAAGCCUAAGAAGUCCACCUGGAGGUUUCAUUUGGACCUUACUCAUCCAGUAGAAGAUGGAAUUUUUGACUCUGGAAAUUUUGAACAGUUUCUACGGGAGAAGGUUAAAGUCAAUGGGAAAACUGGAAAUCUUGGCAAUGUUGUUCACAUUGAACGCCUGAAGAAUAAAAUCACAGUUGUUUCUGAGAAACAGUUCUCCAAAAGGUAUUUGAAAUAUCUUACCAAGAAAUACCUUAAGAAGAAUAAUCUCCGUGAUUGGCUACGUGUGGUCGCAUCUGACAAGGAGACUUACGAACUUCGUUAUUUCCAGAUUAGUCAAGAUGAAGAUGGUUCAGAGCCUGAGGACUAAUUGGCCUCUGCUUGUAAUACAAUGAAAGUAUUCUAAAGAAAUAUAAAAUUGGACUUUAUGAGAAAAUAAAAGUCAUUUCACUCUAUAAAAAAAAAAAUUC